rnacentral:rRNA from 1 species
UAACGAAUAUUCCGCAAUGCGCGAAAGCGUGACGGAGCAAUGCCGCGUGCAGGAUGAAGCCCCUCGGGGUGUAAACUGCUGUCAGGGGCUAGAAACUCAAUGAUCAGCCCCAGAGGAAGAGCCGGCUAACUCUGUGCCAGCAGCCGCGGUAAUACAGAGGGCUCAAGCGUUAAUCGGUAUCACUGGGCUUAAGGGGUGCGUAGGCGGGCGUGUAAGUGUCUUGUGAAAUCCCACGGCUCAACCGUGGAACUGCGGGGCAAACUGCACGUCUUGAGGUCGACAGAGGCUGCCGGAACUCUAGGUGUAGCGGUGAAAUGCGUAGAUAUCUAGAGGAACGCCAAAGGUGAAGACAGGCAGCUGGGUCGAAUCUGACGCUGAGGCACGAAAGCGUGGGUAGCAAACAGGAUUAGAUACCCUGGUAGUCCACGCCCUAAACGAUGGGUACUAGACGUCGGGAAGCUUGUCUUCUUGGUGUCGCAGCUAACGCAAUAAGUACCCCGCCUGGGGAGUACGGUCGCAAGGUUA